rnacentral:tRNA from 5 species
UUUUGCUUAGUUCAAAGGUUAGAGCAUC